rnacentral:misc_RNA from 1 species
GUCGGUAAGAAUGUCACGAAGUAAAUAAUCGUAGCUGACUUUUAAAAAUCUAUUUGAGAAACAUAAUUUAUCGAAGAAAUCGAGAUAAAAAAGAUUGCAUAUGGAAAGGUCAAUCUCGGCUUAUUAAGAAGCUACUUCUUCCGUCGCACCUUCGAACUCGAGCUUUACUUGACACUCCUCUGGUAGUCCCUCAACAUCCACUUCC